CAUGCAAGUCGAACGAGAUCUUCGGAUCUAGUGGCAGACGGGUGAGUAACGCGUGGGAACCUGCCCAGUAGUAGAGAAUAACUUGGGGAAACUUAAGCUAAUACUUUAUACGUCCUUCGGGAGAAAGCUUUAUGCGCUAUUGGAUGGGCCCGCGUUAGAUUAGUUUGUUGGUGAGGUAAUGGCUCACCAAGGCGACGAUCUAUAGCUGGUCUGAGAGGAUGAUCAGCCACACUGGGACUGAGACACGGCCCAGACUCCUACGGGAGGCAGCAGUGGGGAAUAUUGGACAAUGGGGGCAACCCUGAUCCAGCGAUGCCGCGUGAGUGAUGAAGGCCCUAGGGUUGUAAAACUCUUUCGUCAGGGAAGAUAAUGACGGUACCUGAAGAAGAAGAUCCGGCUAACUCCGUGCCAGCAGCCGCGGUAAUACGGAGGGGUCUAGCGUUAUUCGGAAUUACUGGGCGUAAAGCGAGCGUAGGCGGAUUUGUAAGUUGGAGGUGAAAUCCCAGAGCUUAACUCUGGAACUGCCUUCAAAACUACAUUUCUUGAGUUUGGUAGAGGAGAGUGGAAUUCCUAGUGUAGAGGUGAAAUUCGUAGAUAUUA
rnacentral:rRNA from 1 species